rnacentral:rRNA from 1 species
ACGCUGAAGAGAGGAGCUUGCUCUUCUUGGAUGAGUUGCGAACGGGUGAGUAACGCGUAGGUAACCUGCCUUGUAGCGGGGGAUAACUAUUGGAAACGAUAGCUAAUACCGCAUAACAAUGGAUGACACAUGUCAUUUAUUUGAAAGGGGCAAUUGCUCCACUACAAGAUGGACCUGCGUUGUAUUAGCUAGUAGGUGAGGUAAUGGCUCACCUAGGCGACGAUACAUAGCCGACCUGAGAGGGUGAUCGGCCACACUGGGACUGAGACACGGCCCAGACUCCUACGGGAGGCAGCAGUAGGGAAUCUUCGGCAAUGGGGGCAACCCUGACCGAGCAACGCCGCGUGAGUGAAGAAGGUUUUCGGAUCGUAAAGCUCUGUUGUAAGUCAAGAACGGGUGUGAGAGUGGAAAGUUCACACUGUGACGGUAGCUUACCAGAAAGGGACGGCUAACUACGUGCCAGCAGCCGCGGUAAUACGUAGGUCCCGAGCGUUGUCCGGAUUUAUUGGGCGUAAAGCGAGCGCAGGCGGUUUGAUAAGUCUGAAGUUAAAGGCUGUGGCUCAACCAUAGUUCGCUUUGGAAACUGUCAAACUUGAGUGCAGAAGGGGAGAGUGGAAUUCCAUGUGUAGCGGUGAAAUGCGUAGAUAUAUGGAGGAACACCGGUGGCGAAAGCGGCUCUCUGGUCUGUAACUGACGCUGAGGCUCGAAAGCGUGGGGAGCGAACAGGAUUAGAUACCCUGGUAGUCCACGCCGUAAACGAUGAGUGCUAGGUGUUGGAUCCUUUCCGGGAUUCAGUGCCGCAGCUAACGCAUUAAGCACUCCGCCUGGGGAGUACGACCGCAAGGUUGAAACUCAAAGGAAUUGACGGGGGCCCGCACAAGCGGUGGAGCAUGUGGUUUAAUUCGAAGCAACGCGAAGAACCUUACCAGGUCUUGACAUCCCGAUGCUAUUUCUAGAGAUAGAAAGUUACUUCGGUACAUCGGUGACAGGUGGUGCAUGGUUGUCGUCAGCUCGUGUCGUGAGAUGUUGGGUUAAGUCCCGCAACGAGCGCAACCCCUAUUGUUAGUUGCCAUCAUUCAGUUGGGCACUCUAGCGAGACUGCCGGUAAUAAACCGGAGGAAGGUGGGGAUGACGUCAAAUCAUCAUGCCCCUUAUGACCUGGGCUACACACGUGCUACAAUGGUUGGUACAACGAGUUGCGAGUCGGUGACGGCGAGCUAAUCUCUUAAAGCCAAUCUCAGUUCGGAUUGUAGGCUGCAACUCGCCUACAUGAAGUCGGAAUCGCUAGUAAUCGCGGAUCAGCACGCCGCGGUGAAUACGUUCCCGGGCCUUGUACACACCGCCCGUCACACCACGAGAGUUUGUAACACCCGAAGUCGGUGAGGUAACCUU